rnacentral:rRNA from 1 species
GAUGAACGCUGGCGGCGUGCCUAAUACAUGCAAGUCGAGCGAAUGGAUUAAGCGCUUGCUCUUAUGAAGUUAUCGGCGGACGGGUGAGUAACACGUGGGUAACUUGCCCAUAAGACUGGGAUAACUUCGGGAAACCGGGGCUAAUACCGGAGAACAGUUUGAACCGCAUGGUGCGAAAUUGAAAGGCGGCUUCGGCUGUCACUUACGGAGGGACCCGCGUCGCAUUAGCUAGUUGGUGAGGUAACGGCUCACCAAGGCAAAGAUGCGUAGCCGACCUGAGAGGGUGAUCGGCCACGCUGGAACUGAGACACGGCCCAGACUCCUACGGGAGGCAGCAGUAGGGAAUCUUCCGCAAUGGACGAAAGUCUGACGGAGCAACGCCGCGUGAGUGAUGAAGGCUUUCGGGUCGUAAAACUCUGUUGUUAGGGAAGAACAAGUGCUAGUUGAAUAAGCUGGCACCUUGACGGUACCUAACCAGAAAGCCACGGCUAACUACGUGCCAGCCGCCGCCGUAA